UCGUACAAUGGAGGUGCUGGGGUUGUCGCUGACCUUUGAAACGGUCGUGCACGCUUCGGUACUCUCACAUACAAUCCAUCUCACCCCUCUUGUGCAUCACCGCGCGGAGGCCCCUUUUGGCUAGUUCUAAAGGAGGUUUUCACGUUUUUAUACAUACACCAUUUUAAUGCAAUGCGUAGAAUGUCAUACUUUUGCGAUCACACGCAAUUAAUA
rnacentral:misc_RNA from 1 species